UGCUUUAAUUGCCACCUCUAUUUUCUUUGUUGUUUGUUUUUGUUUGUCCGUGUUUUUUAUUCUGACCUAACUGCCCGGCCGGGAGCCCGCUUACAAAUGAACAAGAAUGUUUCCUUUUAAGGGGCGGAGGGGGAACACCUGCAACCCGCUCAAGGGGGAAACAAUUGAACAGGUUUUACCCGAAUAAAUUUGGUCCCCAACAAAAGUUAAGGGCGUUUGGGUUCACAAGAGAGGUUCCGGGGCCAUAUUUAGUGGGGGGAAAAGCCUCACAAAAAAAUGGUGCUUGCCGAUUGGAGGAUUGUUCGCCCACAUGGGGAUGGAACACGGCCCAAAUUCUUAGGGGGGGUGCAGUAGGGAUUUUCCACAAUGGGCGAAAGCUUGAUGAGCAACGCCGCGUGUGUGUGAAGCUUUCGGGUCGUAAAGCACUGUUGUAUGGGAAGAACAGCUAGAAUAGGAAAUGAUUUUAGUUUGACGGUACCAUACCAGAAAGGGACGGCUAAAUACGUGCCAGCAGCCGCGGUAAUACGUAUGUCCCGAGCGUUAUCCGGAUUUAUUGGGCGUAAAGCGAGCGCAGACGGUUUAUUAAGUCUGAUGUGAAAGCCCGGAGCUCAACUCCGGAAUGGCAUUGGAAACUGGUUAACUUGAGUGCAGUAGAGGUAAGUGGAACUCCAUGUGUAGCGGUGGAAUGCGUAGAUAUAUGGAAGAACACCAGUGGCGAAGGCGGCUUACUGGACUGCAACUGACGUUGAGGCUCGAAAGUGUGGGUAGCAAACAGGAUUAGAUACCCUGGUAGUCCACACCGUAAACGAUGAACACUAGGUGUUAGGAGGUUUCCGCCUCUUAGUGCCGAAGCUAACGCAUUAAGUGUUCCGCCUGGGGAGUACGACCGCAAGGUUGAAACUCAAAGGAAUUGACGGGGACCCGCACAAGCGGUGGAGCAUGUGGUUUAAUUCGAAGCAACGCGAAGAACCUUACCAGGUCUUGACAUCCUUUGAAGCUUUUAGAGAUAGAAGUGUUCUCUUCGGAGACAAAGUGACAGGUGGUGCAUGGUCGUCGUCAGCUCGUGUCGUGAGAUGUUGGGUUAAGUCCCGCAACGAGCGCAACCCUUAUUGUUAGUUGCCAGCAUUCAGAUGGGCACUCUAGCGAGACUGCCGGUGACAAACCGGAGGAAGGCGGGGACGACGUCAGAUCAUCAUGCCCCUUAUGACCUGGGCUACACACGUGCUACAAUGGCGUAUACAACGAGUUGCCAACCCGCGAGGGUGAGCUAAUCUCUUAAAGUACGUCUCAGUUCGGAUUGUAGUCUGCAACUCGACUACAUGAAGUCGGAAUCGCUAGUAAUCGCGGAUCAGCACGCCGCGGUGAAUACGUUCCCGGGUCUUGUACACACCGCCCGUCACACCAUGGGAGUUUGUAAUGCCCAAAGCCGGUGGCCUAACCUUUUAGGAAGGAGCCGUCUAAGGCAGGACAGAUGACUGGGGGAAGUCGCCCCCCUUUUGC
rnacentral:rRNA from 1 species